UUAUCAUCUUGUUCAACUUAA
ensembl:piRNA 21ur-5265 ncRNA